rnacentral:rRNA from 1 species
AGAGUUUGAUCCUGGCUCAGAGUGAACGCUGGCGGCAGGCCUAACACAUGCAAGUCGAGCGGCAGCGCGGGGCAACCUGGCGGCGAGCGGCGGACGGGUGAGGAAUGCAUCGGAAUCUACCCUGUCGUGGGGGAUAACGUAGGGAAACUUACGCUAAUACCGCAUACGACCGAGAGGUGAAAGUGGGGGACCGCAAGGCCUCACGCGAUUGGAUGAGCCGAUGCCGGAUUAGCUAGUUGGUGGGGUAAAGGCCCACCAAGGCGACGAUCCGUAGCUGGUCUGAGAGGAUGAUCAGCCACAUUGGGACUGAGACACGGCCCAAACUCCUACGGGAGGCAGCAGUGGGGAAUAUUGGACAAUGGGCGCAAGCCUGAUCCAGCCAUGCCGCGUGUGUGAAGAAGGCCUUCGGGUUGUAAAGCACUUUUGUUCGGGAAGAAAUCGUGCGGAUUAAUACUUCGUACGGAUGACGGUACCGAAAGAAUAAGCACCGGCUAACUUCGUGCCAGCAGCCGCGGUAAUACGAAGGGUGCAAGCGUUACUCGGAAUCACUGGGCGUAAAGCGUGCGUAGGCGGUUCGUUAAGUCUGCUGUGAAAGCCCUGGGCUCAACCUGGGAACUGCAGUGGAUACUGGCGGACUAGAGUGUGAUAGAGGAUGGUGGAAUUCCCGGUGUAGCGGUGAAAUGCGUAGAGAUCGGGAGGAACACCAGUGGCGAAGGCGGCCAUCUGGAUCAACACUGACGCUGAGGCACGAAAGCGUGGGGAGCAAACAGGAUUAGAUACCCUGGUAGUCCACGCCCUAAACGAUGCGAACUGGACGUUGGUUGCAACUUGGCAAUCAGUGUCGAAGCUAACGCGUUAAGUUCGCCGCCUGGGGAGUACGGUCGCAAGACUGAAACUCAAAGGAAUUGACGGGGGCCCGCACAAGCGGUGGAGUAUGUGGUUUAAUUCGAUGCAACGCGAAGAACCUUACCUGGCCUUGACAUCCAGUGAACUUUCCAGAGAUGGAUUGGUGCCUUCGGGAACACUGAGACAGGUGCUGCAUGGCUGUCGUCAGCUCGUGUCGUGAGAUGUUGGGUUAAGUCCCGCAACGAGCGCAACCCUUGUCCUUAGUUGCCAGCACGUAAUGGUGGGAACUCUAAGGAGACUGCCGGUGACAAACCGGAGGAAGGUGGGGAUGACGUCAAGUCAUCAUGGCCCUUACGGCCAGGGCUACACACGUACUACAAUGGUCGGUACAGAGGGUUGCAAUGCCGCGAGGUGGAGCCAAUCCCAGAAAACCGAUCCCAGUCCGGAUCGGAGUCUGCAACUCGACUCCGUGAAGUCGGAAUCGCUAGUAAUCGCGGAUCAGCUAUGCCGCGGUGAAUACGUUCCCGGGCCUUGUACACACCGCCCGUCACACCAUGGGAGUUGGUUGCUCCAGAAGUAGGUAGUCUAACCGCAAGGAGGACGCUUACCACGGAGUAGUCAAUGACUGGGGUGAAGUCGUAACAAGGUA